UGGGGAAUAUUGCACAAUGGGCGAAAGCCUGAUGCAGCAACGCCGCGUGAGUGAUGAAGGUCUUCGGAUUGCAAAGCUCUGUCUUUUGGGACGAUAAUGACGGUACCAAAGGAGGAAGCCACGGCUAACUACGUGCCAGCAGCCGCGGUAAUACGUAGGUGGCGAGCGUUGUCCGGAUUUACUGGGCGUAAAGGGUGCGUAGGCGGAUGUUUAAGUGAGAUGUGAAAUACCCGGGCUUAACUUGGGUGCUGCAUUUCAAACUGGAUAUCUAGAGUGCAGGAGAGGAGAAUGGAAUUCCUAGUGUAGCGGUGAAAUGCGUAGAGAUUAGGAAGAACACCAGUGGCGAAGGCGAUUCUCUGGACUGUAACUGACGCUGAGGCACGAAAGCGUGGGUAGCAAACAGGAUUAGAUACCCUGGUAGUCCACGCCGUAAACGAUGAGUACUAGGUGUAGGAGGUAUCGACCCCUUCUGUGCCGCAGUAAACACAUUAAGUACUCCGCCUGGGAAGUACGAUCGCAAGAUUAAAAC
rnacentral:rRNA from 1 species